rnacentral:lncRNA from 1 species
GCAGAGGUAAAAGAGGUUUCACUAUAAUAGAGAGAGAGUACAAUUUGAAGAAGGUUGAAUUUUCUUAAUAAUGAAAAUAACCCACUAAAUCGCACUUAUAUAGUACGUGCAUACAAAUAGGUCCUAGGCUACUACCCUACACUACCACCACAGACCCCAUUAAAAAUCACAAAUACGGAUCGCACCGCGAAACUUUCACGGCCAAAUCAAUAAAAUUCGGAUCAUAACUCUUAACACCUCCAACUUUCAUUUUCCUCACCAUUCAGCUUUCACUGAGAGAAACUAUCAUCUAGAGAGAUAAGAGUUCUUAUCCAUAAUGAUCUCUUAUCUAUAAUAAUGUAAAUUGAAAGAAAAUCAAUCACAAUAGUCGAGUAACUCUUCAAGUGACAUGUGAGGAACAAAGUAAUACACUAAUAACUUUAAGGAAGGUAUAAUUCUUUCGAAUUCUAAGAAAAAACAUGAUUUAACAACAUGAUGCAUCAUCUAUAAAACAAACACAUCUCACUUAAAACUAAAAAUAUCAACUAAUAACGCAAGUUAAAUAGCUAUUCCACAAUUAUAAUGGCUCAUAUUUAAAACAAAAAAAUAAUAAUAAAACUUUGAAAACAACUAUGCCAAACGUAUAGGGCUCAAUGAUAAUUUUUUAAAAAAUAAAACUGAUAAUAUAACUUUGAAGUUAAUCUAGUUAUCGAAUCAUACCGAAGAAGAACCAAGGUAUGGCUAUUUGACUAAUAGCAUUCUCG